AACAUCGCGCACCUGCGGGAACCUGCGGAGGGAUCAUUACUGAGUCACGUGCUCAAACAACCCUUCUGUGGACCUGAAAUAAAACCGUUGCCUCGGCGGGCGGUCCCCCCCAAACCAACCCCACGUGGUGGGUUAGGGGAGACCAGACAGUCCGGUACGCUUAAGGCGUCCGGCGCCAGCCGCUGGCCCCAAACAAUUAAACUCUAGUAAUCUUUACCUUCCGAGUUUCAAUAUUUAAAA
rnacentral:misc_RNA from 1 species